rnacentral:rRNA from 1 species
AAAACCACUAAGUUCAAGAAGGGCAAGGGUAAGAAGAACUUCAAGAAGGACGGCAAGGGAGUUGCCGCGCCCGGUAAGCCAGUUACCGGGAAGAAGUCAAAGAAUGGACCCAAGCCCGAGACUGAGUGCUUUUAUUGCAAGGGAAGUGGUCACUGGAAGCGGAACUGCCCCAAAUACUUAGCGGACAAGAAGAAGGCCGGCAACACCCAAGGUAUAUGUGAUAUACUAGUAAUUGAUGUGUACCUUGCCAGUACUCGUAGUAGCUCCUGGGUAUUUGAUACCGGUGCGGUUGCUCAUAUUUGUAACUCAAAACAGGAACUACGGAAUAAACGGAGACUGGCGAAGGACGAGGUGACGAUGCGCGUCGGGAAUGGUUCCAAGGUCGAUGUGAUCGCCGUUGGCACGCUACCUCUGCAUCUACCCACGGGAUUAGUUUUAAACCUCAAUAAUUGUUAUUUAGUGCCAGCUUUGAGCAUGAACAUUGUAUCUGGAUCUCGUUUAAUUCGAGAUGGCUACUCAUUUAAAUCUGAGAAUAAUGGUUGUUCUAUUUAUUUGAGAGAUAUGUUUUAUGGUCAUGCCCCGCUGGUCAAUGGUUUAUUUUUGAUGAAUCUCGAACGUGAUGUUACACAUGUUCAUAGUGUGAAUACCAAAAGAUGUAAAGUUGAUAACGAUAGUCCCACAUACUUGUGGCACUGCCGCCUUGGUCACAUUGGUGUCAAGCGCAUGAAGAAGCUCCAUGCAGAUGGACUUUUGGAGUCUCUUGAUUACGAAUCAUUUGACACGUGCGAACCAUGC